AGAGUUUGAUCCUGGCUCAGAGCGAACGUUAGCGGCGGGCCUAACACAUGCAAGUCGAACGAGAAAAUCCCUUCGGGGGUGAGUACAGUGGCGCACGGGUGAGGAACGCGUAGGUAAUCUACCCUCUGGCGGGGGACAACACUCCGAAAGGAAUGCUAAUACCGCGUAAGACCACACCUACUACGGUAGGAGCGGUUAAAGGUGCCUCAAAGCACCACCAGAGGAUGAGCCUGCGUCCCAUCAGCUUGUUGGUAAGGUAACGGCUUACCAAGGCGAAGACGGGUAGCUGGUCUGAGAGGAUGAUCAGCCACACUGGUACUGGAACACGGACCAGACUCCUACGGGAGGCAGCAGUGAGGAAUAUUGGGCAAUGGGCGAAAGCCUGACCCAGCCACGCCGCGUGUGUGAUGAAGGCCUUCGGGUCGUAAAGCACUGUGGGGAGAGACGAAACAGCGCAUCAGGAAAUGGUUGCGCCUUGACGGUACCUCCUUAGCAAGCACCGGCUAACUCUGUGCCAGCAGCCGCGGUAAUACAGAGGGUGCAAACGUUGCUCGGAUUUACUGGGCGUAAAGCGCGUGUAGGCGGACUCGCAAGUCGGUUGUGAAAUCCCUGGGCUCAACCUAGGAACUGCAUCCGAAACUGCUUGUCUUGAGUAAUGGAGAGGGUGGCGGAAUUCCCGGUGUAGAGGUGAAAUGCGUAGAUAUGUGGAGGAAUACCAGUGGCGAAGGCGGCCUCCUGGCUCGAUACUGACGCUGAGGUGCGAAAGGGUGGAGCAAACAGGAUUAGAUACCCUGGUAGUCCACGCCGUAAACGAUGUCAACUAGCCGUUGGGAGACUUGAUUUCUUAGUGGCGCAGCUAACGCACUAAGUUGACCGCCUGGGGAGUACGGCCGCAAGGUUAAAACUCAAAUGAAUUGACGGGGGCCCGCACAAGCGGUGGAGCAUGUGGUUUAAUUCGAUGCAACGCGAAGAACCUUACCAGGUCUUGACAUCCUGCGAAUUUUCUAGAGAUAGAUUAGUGCCUUCGGGAACGCAGUGACAGGUGCUGCAUGGCUGUCGUCAGCUCGUGUCGUGAGAUGUUGGGUUAAGUCCCGUAACGAGCGCAACCCUUGUCCUUAGUUGCCAGCACGUAAUGGUGGGAACUCUAAGGAGACUGCCGGUGACAAACCGGAGGAAGGUGGGGACGACGUCAAGUCAUCAUGGCCCUUACGACCUGGGCUACACACGUGCUACAAUGGCCGGUACAGAGGGUUGCAAAGCCGCGAGGUGGAGCUAAUCCCACAAAACCGGUCGUAGUCCGGAUUGGAGUCUGCAACUCGACUCCAUGAAGUCGGAAUCGCUAGUAAUCGUGGAUCAGAAUGCCACGGUGAAUACGUUCCCGGGCCUUGUACACACCGCCCGUCACACCAUGGGAGUGGGUUGCAAAAGAAGUGGGUAGGCUAACCUUCGGGAGGCCGGUCACCACUUUGUGAUUCAUGACUGGGGUGAAGUCGUAACAAGGUAGCC
rnacentral:rRNA from 1 species